CACAGGAGCUCAGACUCCACUCCUCCUGUGAACUCUUCUGUUGACACUGCUUCAUCACCUCCUCAGGGUCUCACCUCCUUCCUCACUGUACUCAUAGCAGGCCUGGUUCCUGUGGUUCUUCUGGUUCUGCUCUUGGUUCUAGUUCAACUUCUUUUCCACUGCAAAAAGCAAAAUGAAGCAAAUGAUACACAUCAAGCUGAUACAGAUGUUGUCUACUCUGACGUGAGGAUUCUCACUGCAGAGCAGUCAGCUGAUCCAGGUGUUGUGUAUUCAUCACUGAGAGCAGAUUUCCUUGGACGUGUCCCUGAUUCUGCCCUGAAUCCCUGAGUGAGGCUGAGGACACCCUGGGCCUGAUGGACCUUCAUCCUUCCCUCUGCUCCUCUUCUUCAUGCUGUCUGUGCUUUAGUCUGUUUUAAAUACAGCUGUUAGCUCUCACCUGUGCACACAGUAACAUCUGCUCAGGAAGCAGGUUCAGUAACUCUGAGUUUCCUGUUGUCACCUAUGCAGAUUUCAGACUUGCAACCAGACGCUGUGCUGCACUCUAACACACUCUCACACUGAUGGAGGCUGCAGACUGUUUAGCACAGAGGUCCUCUGACUGCCAAUCCACAGUCUCUGAUUGGUGGGGACCCGCUGUACCCCUGAGUCACAGACAGAAGCAGUAGUGAGAGCUGAGGACACAGGUGUGAAUGAGGGUCUGUGACCUCCUCAGAGAGCUGAGUCUGUGUGACAGAGCGUGGAUGUGAGCCUGAGUCGACGCUCACUGUGAGCUCAGCAGCAUUAACAUGCACUGAGAGCGACACACACAACUACUGUCUGUCCCCUCUGAUGUCCACACAGACACACUUAGGCAGCAGCAGGUGCAGCAGGUGCAGCAGGUGAGGUCAAAGCACAGAAGCACUGAGAUGAGCCGACAGCGCCCUCUGCUGGUCCCAGUUUGCGCUGCUGCUGAUCGUCCACAGACCAUAUUUGUUCAUUCCAUUUUCCUCCUACAUGCUCUCCUUCACACUCUUUACAUGUUUGUACUAAAGAUCAGGAGUUAUGGCUUUCUGGAUGUGUGUCAUCUGUUGCCAUGGUAACUGACCCUGUUCAGGUUAUCCUUCUUACUGGGACCAAAAGGCUGGAGUUUCCUUCAUCUGAGGAUUAACAAACUCUGUUUCACUCAAACCUGCUUCCUGUAAGAGAAACUGUGUGUGUGUGUGUGUG